UUAUCAGAAGGGAACAAUUUUUGGGGAGAGAAAGUGAAUUUUUAAAGGGCUUUGAAUAGAGUUUUUUUCAAGAACUACAGGAAUCUAUUUUGCUACUUCAUUUUCCCAAAUUAUUGAUAAAUUAAUAUAUUUUUUCCGUACUUGAUGUUAAGCCAGUUAAAUGAGCAUAAUUUGAUCUUAUUACAAAUAUUGUAAAUUAGCGGGUUAUACGUGAUAUUUCGAUGAUUAUAAUUAAAUACAUUAUUUGACUGUAAUUCGUAUUGUGAGUGUGUGUGCUUGUGUGUGUGUGUGCUUUCUGGAUGAAUAUGCAAAUAUUUGGACGCCUUUUGGACGUAAGUGGCCCCGAUAAUAAAGUGGCACAUGUUGGCAGCCUCGGUCGAACCAAUAAAAUGGCGGAAGGCGAUCAUAAAACGUAAUCACCCGCAAUAUAAACACAGGCGUAAAAUUGUUGAGUUAAUUAAAUGUCCAAAAUGAAAAUCAAGCGAAUACUUGCGAAACUCUCGGGGUCUCCCAGGCGGAGUCUCCGGUUACACAUCACACAGAUCUUGGGCAAAUAUCAGCUGUGCCUAAUUGGAAGCCCGUUCACCGAUCGACCCAACCACCAAACCACCAAUCCACCUGGUCUCUGUGUGCACCGUCGCCGUCGUGGCGAUAGCGAUAGUUCAUUUCUUAAUUGUUCAGCCGUUGCCGCCGCUACCGCCACCGCCACUGCCGGCACAGACAAACAAUAAUUGCGUUCGUGCUGAAGAUAAAAAUGUAUCCGGUAGAUAAAUGCCAGGCCAGGCAAAUUGUUUGCUCUUUUAACAAAAAUGCGGCCAGCACCAGCAUUUGUGGUGGGGCAUCCAAAAAAGAAUUUCACAAACAAAUAACAAAAUUUAUUAACUCUUGAGUUCAAAAGAAUUGCUGCGCAUUUCCUCAA